UACGUAGGUGGCGAGCGUUAUCCGGAAUUACUGGGCGUAAAGCGCGCGCAGGCGGUUAAAUAAGUUUGGCGUGAAAGCUCCCGGCUUAACUGGGAGAGGUCGUUGAAAACUGUUUAACUUGAGGCAAUGAGAGGGGUACGGAAUUCCAGGUGUAGUGGUGGAAUGCGUAGAUAUCUGGAGGAACACCAGUGGCGAAAGCGGUACCCUGGCAUUGACCUGACGCUCAUGUGCGAAAGCGUGGGGAGCGAACGGGAUUAGAUACCCGUGUA
rnacentral:rRNA from 1 species